GCGCCGCCCGCGCCGGUCCUGCCCUCCUCCGUGUCUUGGCUGCGGGCAACUUCCAAAGUUUCUGAAGAGUUAUUUGCAAGGAUUGCUCACACACCUUAAACACAGGCCACCUCUCCCCAGCCCUCGGCCACCCUCGCGCAAACGCUCAGACUCUCCGGAUUCCGAACCAACGUGGAGGGGGGAGGGGGCGAGGGUGGGAACACCGGGGGUUUGAGAAACUUUCCUCGGAACUCGUCGGCGCCCGGCAGCGCCCCGCGGAACGCCCGGCAGCCCCUCGUCCCCGCUGCGCUCUGGCUACGCCGCGUCCAAAUGGCUACCUGGAUGGAACCUUUCGCCGCGGCCACUUGCUUCUGCCGGGCAGGCUGUCCUUUGAAAUAGCUGAGCUCCCAGCAGGACCGUCAGUGGCAUUUGCCAGGAUACUUAAUCCCCGGUCGUUGCAUUCUUUUUGCUUCACCUAUUCCUUCUGUUGACCACGCCAUUCUAGGGAGCCGGGACCAUGGACUUGGCCUGCGCAGGCCGGGCUCCUGGCCGCGCGUGGCUCCCGCUGCCCGGCCCCUCGGUACUCCAGCUCCUGCGCGUCUUCGGGCUGCUGUCCCUGCUGCCGGGGCCGGCCCGGGUCGGCGGGGCCGAGCAGCGCCAGGUGUUCCAGGUGCUGGAGGAGCAGCCCCCCGGCACGCUGGUGGGCACCAUCCCCACGCGCCCCGGCUUCACCUACCGGCUCAGCGAAAACCACGCCCUGUUUGCCAUCAACAGCAGCACCGGCACCCUGUACACCACGGCCACCAUCGACCGCGAGAGCCUGCCUAGCGACGUGAUCAACCUGGUGGUCCUCUCCAGCUCGCCCACCUACCCCACCGAGGUGCGCGUGCUGGUGUGGGACCUGAACGACAACGCCCCCGUCUUCCCGGACCCCUCCAUCGUCGUCACCUUCAAGGAGGACAGCAGCAGCGGGCGCCAAGUCAUCUUGGACACGGCCACCGACGCGGACAUCGGCUCCAACGGCGUGGACCACCACUCCUACCAAAUCGUGCAGGGCAACGAGGAGGGCCGCUUCCGCCUGGACAUCACGCUGAACCCGAGCGGCGAGGGCGCCUUCCUGCACCUGGUGUCCGAGGGCGGGCUGGACCGCGAGGUCACGCCGCAGUACCAGCUGCUGGUGGAGGUGAAGGACAAGGGCGAGCCCAAGCGGCGGGGCUACCUUCAGGUGAACGUGACCGUGCAGGACAUUAAUGACAACCCCCCGGUGUUCGGCAGUUCCCACUACCAGGCGGGGGUGCCCGAGGACGCGGCCGUGGGCUCCAGCGUCCUCCAGGUGGCGGCGGCGGACGCCGACGAGGGCACCAACGCCGACAUCCGCUACCGGUUGCAGGACGAGGGGACCCCCUUCCAGAUGGACCCCGAAACGGGGCUUAUCACGGUGAGGGAGCCCCUGGACUUCGAGGCGCGGCGCCAGUACUCGCUGACGGUGCAGGCUCUGGACCGGGGCGCGCCGUCCCUCACCGGGCGCGCCGAGGCGCUCAUUCAGCUGCUGGACGUCAACGACAACGACCCGGUGGUGAAGUUCCGCUACUUCCCCGCCACCUCGCGCUACGCCUCGGUAGACGAGAACGCGCAGGUGGGCACCGUGGUGGCUCUGCUCACCGUGACGGACGCAGACUCCCCCGCGGCCAACGGGAACAUUUCCGUGCAGAUUCUUGCGGGCAACGAGCAGCGCCACUUUGAGGUGCAGAGCAGCAAAGUGCCGAACCUGAGCCUCAUCAAAGUGGCCAGCGCCCUGGACCGGGAGCGCAUUCCUUCCUACAACCUGACGGUGUCCGUCUCGGAUAACUACGGGGCGCCCCCUGCUGCGGCGGUGCGGGCGCGCUCCUCGGUGGCCAGCCUGGUGAUUUUUGUCAAUGACAUCAACGACCACCCUCCUGUCUUUGCGCAGCAGGUGUACAGAGUGAACCUGAGCGAGGAGGCGCCCCCGGGAAGCUACGUGAGCGGAGUGUCUGCCACGGAUGGCGACUCCGGCCUCAAUGCGAACCUGCGUUACAGCAUCGUCUCUGGCAAUGGCCUGGGCUGGUUCCAUAUCAGCGAGCAUAGCGGCCUGGUGACCACCGGGGCUGCCGGGGGCCUGGACCGUGAACUUGCUUCCCAAAUUGUACUGAACAUCAGUGCUCGGGACCAGGGCGUUCACCCCAAGGUCUCCUACGCCCAGCUCGUAGUAACUCUGCUGGAUGUGAAUGAUGAAAAGCCAGUGUUCAGCCAGCCGGAUGGGUACGAUGUGUCUGUGGUGGAGAACGCCCCGGCAGGAACAGAACUGCUGGUGCUGGGGGCAACUGACGGGGACCUGGGUGACAAUGGGACAGUGCGCUUCUCCCUACAAGAGGCGGAGACUGACCAGAGGUCUUUCCGUCUGGAUCCCGUGUCUGGGAGGUUGAGUACCAUCUCCUCUCUGGACAGAGAGGAGCAAGCUUUCUACUCCCUGUUGGUUCUGGCCACAGACCUGGGCUCCCCUCCCCAGUCCUCAGUGGCACGCAUAAAUGUGACUCUCCUGGACAUGAAUGACAACAGUCCUGUGUUCUACCCAGUCCAAUACUUUGCUCAUAUCCAGGAGAAUGAGCCUGGAGGGAGCUACAUUACCACGGUGUCUGCCACUGACCCCGACUUGGGUCUCAAUGGAACUGUCAAAUAUAGCAUAUCAGCUGGGGACAGGUCUCGGUUUCAGGUCGAUGCUCAGAGUGGGGUGAUUUCUACAAGGAUGGCCCUAGACAGAGAAGAAAAAACAGCUUACCAGUUGCAAAUAGUGGCUACUGACGGUGGCAAUUUACAGUCCCCCAACCAGGCAGUAGUAACCAUCACUGUAUUGGACACUCAAGACAACCCACCCGUAUUCAGCCAGGCUGCCUACAGCUUCGUGGUCUUUGAGAAUGUGGCUCUGGGAUAUCAUGUGGGUAGUGUGUCUGCAUCCACCAUGGAUCUCAAUUCCAACAUCAGUUAUCUGAUUACUACUGGGGAUCAGAAAGGUAUGUUUGCUAUCAACCAGGUCACUGGGCAGCUUACCACAGCUAGUGUGAUUGACAGAGAAGAGCAGUCCUUUUAUCAGCUGAAAGUAGUGGCCAGUGGGGGCACAGUGACUGGAGACACUAUGGUUAACAUCACGGUUAAGGAUUUGAAUGACAACUCUCCCCAUUUCCUUCAGGCAGUAGAGAGCGUGAAUGUGGUGGAGAAUUGGCAGGCAGGGCACAGCAUUUUCCAAGCCAAAGCUGUGGACCCUGACGAGGGUGUCAAUGGCAUGGUGCUCUAUAGCCUGAAGCAGAACCCCAAGAACCUAUUUACUAUCAAUGAAAAGAAUGGUCAUGUGAGUCUGCUGGGGCCCCUGGAUGUCCAUGCCGGUUCCUACCAGAUAGAGAUCUUGGCGUCAGAUAUGGGUGUUCCACAGCUCUCCUCUAGUGUCAUCUUAACAGUGUAUGUCCAUGAUGUAAAUGACAACCCACCUGUAUUUGACCAGCUCUCUUAUGAGGUCACCCUCUCUGAGUCAGAACCUGUGAAUUCUCGAUUCUUUAAAGUGCAAGCUUCUGAUAAGGAUUCAGGAGCAAAUGGUGAAAUUGCAUAUAGCAUUGCUGAAGGAAAUACAGGGGAUGCUUUUGGCAUAUUCCCAGAUGGUCAAUUGUAUAUAAAAAGUGAGCUGGACCGUGAACUUCAAGACAGAUAUGUUUUACUGGUGGUUGCUUCUGACAGAGCGGUGGAACCCCUUAGUGCUACUGUGAAUGUUACUGUAAUUUUAGAAGAUGUAAAUGAUAACAGACCUCUUUUUAACAGUACCAAUUACUCGUUUUAUUUUGAAGAGGAGCAGAAAGCUGGGUCAUUUGUGGGCAAAGUAAGUGCUGUAGAUAAAGACUUUGGGCCAAAUGGAGAAGUCAGGUAUUCUUUUGAAAUGGUUCAGCCAGACUUUGAGUUGCAUGCUCUUAGUGGGGAAAUUACAAAUACUCAUCAGUUUGACAGGGAGUCUCUUAUGAGGCGCAGAGGGACUGCAGUGUUUACCUUUACAGUCAUUGCAACAGACCAGGGGCUCCCGCAGCCUCUCAAGGAUCAGGCCACUGUACAUGUUUACAUGAAAGAUAUAAACGAUAAUGCUCCCAAGUUUGUAAAAGACUUUUACCAAGCUACAAUAUCGGAGUCCGCAGCCAACCUGACACAGGUUUUAAGAGUAUCUGCCUCAGAUGUUGAUGAAGGUAAUAAUGGACUUAUUCAUUAUUCUGUAAUAAAAGGGAAUGAAGAAAGACAGUUUGCUAUAGAUAGUUCCUCUGGCCAGGUGACACUAAUUGGCAAAUUAGACUACGAAGCAACAUCUGCCUAUUCCCUUGUCAUUCAAGCAGUGGAUUCAGGGGUAAUCUCCCUCAACUCAACCUGUACCUUGAAUAUUGAUAUUUUAGAUGAAAAUGACAAUACCCCUUCAUUCCCUAAAUCAACACUCUUUGUUGAUGUUUUGGAAAACAUGAGAAUUGGUGAACUCGUGUCAUCUGUUACCGCAACUGAUUCAGAUUCCGGUGACAAUGCUGAUUUGCACUACAGCAUUACUGGGACUAAUAACCAUGGAACUUUUAGCAUUAGCCCAAACACUGGGAGUAUUUUUCUUGCCAAGAAAUUGGACUUUGAAACACAGUCUUUGUACAAAUUAAAUAUAACAGCAAAAGACCAAGGAAGGCCUCCUCGUUCAUCUACAAUGUCAGUGGUUAUACAGGUGAGAGACUUCAAUGACAACCCUCCUAGCUUUCCUCCUGGGGAUAUUUUCAAGUCUAUUGUUGAGAACGUUCCCAUUGGAACGUCUGUCAUUUCAGUGACUGCCCAUGACCCUGAUGCAGACAUUAAUGGACAACUAGCCUACACGAUCAUCCAACAGAUGCCAAGGGGCAACCACUUUGGCAUAGAUGAAGUCAAAGGCACUAUAUACACCAGUGCUGAAAUAGAUCGGGAAUUUGCUAACCUCUUUGAGUUAACGGUAAAAGCCAACGAUCAAGCUGUGCCUAUAGAAACUAGACGGUAUGCGUUGAAAAACGUGACCAUUUUGGUCACAGACCUCAAUGACAACGUUCCAGUGUUCAUAUCACAGAACGCCCUCGCUGCAGACCCUUCAGCCGUGAUUGGCUCUGUGCUGACCACAGUCAUGGCUGCUGACCCUGACGAAGGUGCCAACGGAGAGGUGGAGUACGAGAUCAUCAACGGGGACACAGACACCUUCGUCGUGGACCGUUUCAGUGGAGACUUGAGAGUGGCAUCAGCACUGGUGCCUUCACAGCUGAUCUAUAACCUCAUCGUUUCAGCAACGGACCUUGGCCCUGAAAGGAGGAAAUCCACCACCGAACUGACCGUCAUUCUUCAGGGCCUCGAUGGACCUGUUUUUACUCAACCCAAAUAUAUAACUAUUUUGAAGGAAGGGGAACCCAUCGGUACCAAUGUGAUAUCAAUAGAAGCAGCGAGCCCUAGAGGAUCGGAAGCCCCAGUGGAGUAUUAUAUUGUUUCAGUUCGAUGUGAAGAAAAAACCGUUGGACGUCUCUUUACUAUUGGACGACAAACUGGCAUGAUUCAGACGGCAGCCAUUCUGGACCGGGAGCAAGGGGCCUGCCUUUACCUGGUGGAGGUUUACGCCAUCGAAAAAUCAACUGCUUUUCCCAGGACGCAGCGAGCAGAGGUAGAAAUAACACUUCAGGAUAUCAAUGACAAUCCACCGGUGUUUCCAACGGACAUGCUGGAUCUCACCGUGGAGGAGAACAUUGGAGAUGGCUCGAAGAUCAUGCAGCUCACAGCCAUGGAUGCAGACGAGGGCGCGAAUGCUCUUGUCACAUACACGAUCAUCAGUGGAGCUGAUGACAGUUUCCGCAUUGACCCUGAGUCUGGAGAUCUGAUAGCGACCAAGAGGUUGGACAGAGAACGCCGUUCCAAAUACUCCCUGCUGGUUCGUGCAGAUGACGGUCUCCAGUCCUCCGAUAUGAGAAUCAACAUCACUGUCAGUGAUGUCAACGACCACUCGCCCAAGUUCUCCAGGCCUGUGUACUCUUUUGACAUCCCAGAAGACACAACCCCAGGUUCUUUGGUGGCAGCUAUUUUAGCUACGGAUGAUGACUCUGGGGUGAACGGAGAAAUUACAUACAGUGUGAGUGAAGAUGAUGAAGAUGGCAUAUUUUUCCUGAAUCCAGUCACUGGAGUCUUUAAUUUGACUCGCAUAUUGGAUUAUGAAGCACAGCAGUAUUAUAUCCUUACUGUUCGAGCUGAAGACGGUGGGGGACAAUUUACUACCAUCAGGGUUUAUUUCAAUGUACUAGAUGUAAAUGACAACCCACCUAUUUUCAGCUUGAGUUCAUACAGCACAUCUUUAAUGGAGAAUCUACCUCUAGGAUCUACUGUUCUCGUGUUCAAUGUUACCGACGCAGACGACGGCAUCAACUCCCAGUUGGCUUAUAGCAUUGCUUCAGGCGACAGCCUCGGGCAGUUUACCGUUGACAAGAAUGGUGUGCUGACCAUCCUAAAAACUCUGGACCGGGAAAGCCAGUCCUUUUACAACCUGGUGGUGCAGGUGCAGGACCUGCCCCCGCCUCCGGCCCCCAGGUUCACCAGUACUGCUCAAGUCUCCAUCAUUUUGCUGGACGUGAAUGACAACCCCCCAGCAUUUCUUUCGCCUCGAUUGACGUACAUUCCAGAAAACACACCCAUUGAUACCGUUGUUUUCAAAGCGCAAGCCACGGACCCGGACAGCGGCCCCAACAGCUACAUUGAGUACACGCUGCUGAACCCCUCGGGAAACAAGUUCAGCAUCGGGACCAUUGACGGCGAAGUGAGGCUCACGGGCGAGCUGGACAGGGAGGCGGUGUCCAAUUACACCCUCGCCGUGGUGGCCACCGACAAAGGCCACCCGCCUCUCUCUUCGUCUGCCGAGGUCGUGGUCGUGGUGCUGGACGUCAACGACAACAACCCCGUGUUCGCGCAGGCUUUGUACAGCGUGGAGAUCCACGAAAACGUGCUCACGGGGACAGACAUCGUGCAGGUGCAGGCCGCAGACGGCGACGAGGGCACCAACGGGCAGGUGCGCUACGGCCUCGUCGGCGGCAACGCCGGCCAGGAGUUCCGCAUCGACUCUGUCACCGGCGCCGUCACCGUGGCCAAGCCGCUCGAUAGAGAGAGGACCCCCGCUUACCUGCUAACCGUCCAGGCGACAGAUCGCGGCAGCACCCCCAGGACCGAUACCUCCGCUGUCAGCAUCGUCCUCCUGGAUACUAAUGAUUUUGUCCCCAUAUUUGAGCUCUCCCCAUAUUCCGUCCACGUCCCCGAGAAUUUAGGGGCGCUGCCCAGAACCAUCCUUCAGGUGGUGGCGAGAGACGACGACCAGGGUUCUAACAGCAAACUCUCCUAUGUCCUGUUCGGCGGUAACGAGGACAGUGCUUUUACUCUCUCAAAUAGUGGAGAGCUUCGAGUAACACAGAGUCUGGACCGUGAGACCAAGGAGCACUUUGUCUUGAUGGUCACAGCUACGGAUUCAGGAUCCCCCGCCCUGACUGGAACUGGAACAAUCAAUGUCAUAGUAGAUGAUGUCAAUGACAAUGUCCCCACUUUUGCCAGUAAGUUGUAUUUCACCACAAUUCCCGAAGAUGCACCGACGGGAACGGACGUCCUGUUGGUCAAUGCUUCGGAUGCCGACGCCUCAACCAAUGCAGUCAUCAGUUAUAGGAUCACUGGUGGAAACUCUCAGUUCACCAUCAACCCAUCCACGGGACAGAUCAUCACCAGUGCACUGCUAGACAGGGAAACAAGAGAGAAUUAUACGUUAGUGGUGGUUUCCAGUGAUGCUGGGUCCCCAGGGCCUCUUUCCAGUUCCACAAGCGUGCUCGUCACCGUGACUGAUGUCAAUGACAACCCACCAAGAUUUCAGCAUCACCCGUAUGUCACACACAUCCCGUCGCCUACUCCUCCAGGUGCCUUCGUCUUCGCGGUGACCGUCACGGAUGCUGAUAUUGGACCCAAUUCUGAACUGCAUUACUCUCUCUCGGGGAGAAACUCUGAGAAGUUCCACAUUGACCCGCUGCGGGGAGCUAUUAUGGCAGCCGGGCCGUUAAACGGAGCUGCGGAGGUGACAUUCUCUGUCCAUGUGAAAGACGGUGGCCCGUUCCCAAAGACAGAUUCCACAACAGUGACUGUUCGCUUUGUGAACAAGGCAGAUUUCCCCAAAGUCAGAGCCAAAGAACACACUUUCAUGUUUCCUGAGAACCAGCCAGUGGGCACUCACGUCACCACUGUUACAGGGUCUUCCAUGAGAGGAGAACCUUUGUCCUAUUAUAUUGCAAGCGGGAACCUUGGCAACACGUUCCAGAUUGAUCAGUUAACAGGGCAGGUGUCCAUAAGUCAGCCUCUGGACUUUGAAAAGAUGCAGAAGUAUGUUGUAUGGAUAGAGGCCAGAGACGGAGGUUUCCCUCCUUUCUCCUCGUAUGAGAAACUUGACAUAGCCGUAUUAGAUGUCAACGACAAUGCCCCGAUUUUUAAGGAAGAUCCAUUUGUAUCUGAAAUAUUGGAAAAUCUUUCCCCUCGAAAAAUACUUACUGUCUCAGCCACAGACAAGGACAGUGGACCCAAUGGACAGUUAGAUUAUGAAAUUGUCAGUGGCAACAAGGAACACAGUUUCAGCAUCAAUCGCACCACUGGUGAAAUUAGAAGCAUUUGGCCUCUAGACAGGGAAAAGGUAUCUCAGUAUGUGCUCACCAUAAAGUCCUCGGACAAAGGCUCCCCUUCACAGAGCAGCUCGGUGAAAGUCAUCAUUCACAUUUUAGAUGAAAAUGAUAAUGCCCCUAGGUUCUCUCAGAUCUUCAGUGCCCAUGUUCCUGAAAACUCCCCGUUGGGAUUCACUGUUACACGUGUCACGACUUCUGAUGAAGAUGUUGGUGUAAAUGCAAUUAGUAGAUAUGCUAUAAUGGACACAAGUCUUCCAUUCACCAUUAAUCCCAGCACAGGGGAUAUUGUCAUUAGUAGGCCUUUAAAUAGAGAAGAUACAGACCGUUACAGAAUCCGAGUUUCAGCACAUGAUUCCGGGUGGACUGUAAGUACAGACGUCACGAUAUUUGUGACAGAUGUCAAUGACAAUGCUCCCAGAUUUAGUAGACCCUCCUAUUAUUUAGAUUGCCCUGAACUUGCAGAAAUCGGCUCCAAAGUGACUCAGGUGUCUGCAACCGAUCCCGACGAGGGGUCAAAUGGACAAGUGGUUUAUUUUAUAAAAUCUCAAUCAGAGUAUUUCAGGAUUAAUGCCACCACAGGAGAGAUUUUCAAUAAACAGAUCUUGAAAUACCAAAACGUCAGUGGCUUCAGUAAUGUGAACAUCAACAGACACAGUUUUAUAGUGACAUCUUCAGAUAGAGGUAAUCCUUCCCUACUUAGUGAGACAACCGUUACCAUCAACAUAGUGGACAGUAAUGACAAUGCACCCCAGUUUCUUAAGAGUAAAUAUUUCACCCCAGUCACCAAAAACGUGAAAGUUGGUACAAAGUUAAUCAAAGUUACUGCAGUAGAUGAUAAAGAUUUCGGACUGAAUUCCGAAGUGGAGUAUUUCGUUUCUAGUGAAAAUCAUUUGGGGAAAUUUACGUUGGACAACAGCACAGGGUGGAUUUCAGUGGCAUCUUCCCUCAUCUCUGACUUGAAUCAAAACUUUUUGAUCACUGUCACUGCAAAGGAUAAAGGAAACCCUCCACUUUCAUCCCAGGCCACUGUUCAAAUCAUUGUCACUGAGGAGAACUACCAUACCCCGGAAUUCUCUCAAAGCCACAUGAGUGCCACCAUCCCUGAAAGCCACAGCGUCGGGGCCAUUGUCAGGACGGUUUCUGCGAGAGAUAGAGACGCGGCGAUGAACGGCCUGAUUAGGUACAGCAUUUCUUCAGGAAACGAAGAAGGCACGUUUGCCAUCAAUUCCUCCACCGGUGUGUUGACACUAGCCAGAGCUCUUGACUACGAGCUAUGCCAGAAACAUGAAAUGACUGUUAGUGCUACCGAUGGCGGAUGGGUGGCAAGGACUGGUUACUGCAGUGUGACGGUUAAUGUGCUUGAUGUGAAUGACAAUUCUCCAGUAUUCCUCCCCGAGGAAUAUUUCCCCACUGUUUUGGAAAAUGCCCCAAGCGGGACCACAGUCAUCCACCUAAAUGCAACAGAUGCUGACUCUGGCACCAAUGCUGUGAUUGCCUACACUGUGCAGUCCUCUGACAGUGACCUCUUUGUCAUUGACCCCAACACGGGAGUCCUCACCACUCAAGGCUUCUUGGAUUUUGAAACCAAGCAGAGCUACCACCUCACUGUGAAAGCUUUCAAUGUCCCCGAUGAAGAAAGGUGCAGUUUUGCCACGGUUAAUAUACAGUUGAAAGGGACAAAUGAAUAUGUGCCUCGUUUUGUUUCCAAACUUUACUAUUUUGAAAUCUCAGAAGCAGCUUCUAGAGGUACGAUUGUCGGAGAAGUGUUUGCCAGUGACCGGGAUUUGGGCGCCGAUGGGGAGGUACACUACUUGAUUUUUGGUAACAGUAGGAAGAAGGGUUUCCAAAUCAAUAAGAAGACUGGACAGAUUUAUGUUUCUGGAAUUCUUGACAGAGAAAAAGAAGAAAGGGUGUCUUUGAAGGUACUGGCCAAGAAUUUUGGCAGCAUUAGGGGUGCAGACAUAGAUGAGGUCACCGUAAAUAUCACCGUGCUCGAUGCCAAUGACCCACCCAUUUUUAGUUUGAGCACCUACAGCGUUCAGAUCAGCGAAGGGGUCCCGACAGGAACUCAUGUGACCUUUGUCAGUGCCUUUGACUCAGACUCUGUCCCCAGCUGGAGCAGGUUCUCUUACUUCAUCGGGUCAGGGAAUGAAAAUGGUGCCUUUUCCAUCAACCCACAGACAGGACAGAUCACCGUAACUGCAGAAUUAGAUCGAGAAACCCUCCCCAUCUACAAUCUCACAGUGCUGGCUGUUGAUUCGGGGACACCCUCAGCUACAGGAAGUGCCUCUUUAUUAGUCACCCUGGAAGAUAUAAACGACAAUGGGCCGGUGCUGACCAUCAGCGAAGGAGAAGUUAUGGAAAACAAACGCCCAGGAACUCUGGUGAUGACCCUUCAGUCCACCGACCCUGAUCUCCCUCCAAAUCAAGGCCCCUUUACCUAUUACUUGCUGAGCACGGGUCCUGCCACCAAUUAUUUUAGUCUGAACACUGCUGGAGUCCUGAGCACCACCAGAGAGAUUGACAGAGAGCAGAUCGCAGACUUCUACCUGUCGGUGGUUACGAGGGAUUCGGGUGUUCCUCAGAUGUCUUCCACGGGAACUGUGCACAUCACCGUGAUAGACCAAAAUGACAACCCUUCACAGUCUCGGACGGUGGAGAUAUUUGUUAACUAUUACGGCAACUUAUUCCCUGGUGGGAUUUUGGGCUCUGUGAAGCCGCAGGAUCCGGACGUGUUGGACACGUUCCACUGCUCCCUUACCUCGGGGGUGACGAGCCUCUUCAGUGUUCCCAGGGGCACUUGUGACCUGAACUCCCAGCCGAGGUCCACGGAUGGCACGUUCGAUCUGACCGUCCUCAGCAGUGACGGAGUCCACGGCGCAGUCACCAGCAACAUCCGCGUCUUCUUCGCCGGGUUUUCCAACGCCACGAUAGACAGCAGCAUCCUCCUGCGGCUCAGUGUCCCCACGGUGAGGGACUUCCUCACCAACCACUACCUCCCCUUCCUGCGCAUCGCGGGCGCGCAGCUCACGGGCCUGGGCACGGCCGUGCAGCUCUACGGUGCCUACGAGGAGAACAACCGGACGUUCCUCCUGGCGGCCGUGAAGCGGGGCAAUAAUCAGUAUGUGAAUCCCAGCGGGGUGGCCACCUUCUUUGAAAGCAUCAAGGAGAUCCUCCUGCGGCAGAGCGGGGUGAAGGUGGAGUCUGUGGAUCACGACUCGUGCGCCCCCGGCCCGUGUCAGAACGGGGGCAGCUGCCUCAGGAGGCUGGCCGUGAGCCCCGCGGUCAGGAGCCACGAGAGCCUGCCCGUCGUCAUCGUGGCCAACGAACCGCUGCCGCCCUUCUUGUGCCGGUGUCUGCCGGGCUAUGCCGGGAGCUGGUGUGAAACGGACAUAGACGAGUGCCUGCCGUCCCCUUGCCACAACGGCGGCACCUGCCACAACCUGGUGGGGGGGUUCUCCUGCAGCUGCACGGAUGGCUUCACGGGGAGGGCCUGCGAGAGGGACGUCAACGAGUGCCUGCCUAGUCCUUGCAAGAACGGGGCCAUCUGCCAGAACUUCCCAGGGAGCUUCAACUGUGUUUGCAAAACUGGAUACACAGGGAAAAUGUGUGAAUCUCCGGUCAAUUACUGUGAAUGCAACCCCUGCUUCAAUGGCGGGUCCUGCCAGAGCAGUGUGGAGUCCUACUAUUGUCACUGUCCCUUUGGUGUCUUUGGAAAACACUGCGAGUUGAAUAGCUAUGGAUUUGAGGAGUUAUCAUACAUGGAAUUUCCCAGCUUGGACCCCAAUAACAACUAUAUUUAUGUCAAGUUUGCAACGAUCAAAAGUCAUGCUUUAUUGCUUUACAACUAUGACAACCAGACAGGGGACCGGGCUGAAUUUUUGGCCCUUGAAAUUGCUGAAGAAAGACUAAGAUUCUCUUACAACUUAGGCAGCGGCACCUACAAGCUCACCACCAUGAAGAAGGUGUCGGACGGGCACUUCCACACCGUGAUUGCCCGCAGAGCUGGAAUGGCAGCCUCCUUAACUGUGGACUCCUGUUCCGAGGACCAAGAACCAGGGUACUGCACUGUCAGUAACGUGGCCAUCUCAGAUGACUGGACUCUUGAUGUUCAGCCAAAUCGAGUCACAGUCGGAGGUAUCAGAUCCCUGGACCCAGUUCUUCAGAGGAGAGGACACGUGGAAAGCCACGACUUCGUCGGGUGCAUCAUGGAGUUUGCAGUGAAUGGGAGGCCUCUGGAACCCAGCCAGGCUCUGGCCGCACAAGGCAUCCUAGACCAGUGCCCCCGACUGGAAGGCGCUUGCACUCGCAGCCCCUGCCAGCACGGCGGCACGUGCACGGAUUACUGGUCGUGGCAGCAGUGUCACUGCACGGAUGGACUGACGGGCAAAUACUGUGAAAAAUCUCUCACUCCCGACACGGCCUUGUCCUUGGAAGGCAGAGGGCGCCUGGACUACCACAUGAGUCAGAACCAGAAGCGGGAGUACCUGCUGCGGCAGAGCCUCCGCGGUGCCACGGUGGAGCCUUUCGGCGUGAACAGCCUGGAAGUGAAAUUCAGGACAAGAAGCGAGAAUGGCAUUUUAAUCCAUAUCCAAGAAAGCAGCAAUUACACUACUGUGAAGAUUAAGAAUGGCAAAGUACAUUUUACAUCAGAUGCAGGAAUUGCUGGGAAAGUGGAGAGAAAUAUUCCUGAAGUGUAUGUUGCCGAUGGCCACUGGCACACUUUUCUAAUCGGAAAAAACGGAACAGCCACAGUACUGUCGAUCGACAGGAUAUACAACAGGGAUAUCGUCCACCCUACUCAGGAUUUUGGUGGACUCGAUGUGCUCACUAUAUCCCUUGGAGGAAUUCCACCCAAUCAAGCUCAUCGAGAUACUCAAACAGGUUUCGAUGGCUGCAUCGCGUCCAUGCUGUACGGUGGGGACAGCCUGCCUUUCAGCGGGAAGCACAGCUUGGCCUCCAUCUCCAAGACGGAUCCCUCGGUGAAGAUCGGCUGCCGCGGGCCCAACAUCUGCGCCAGCAACCCCUGCUGGGGCGACCUGCUGUGCAUCAACCAGUGGUACGCCUACAAGUGCGUGCCCCCUGGGGACUGCGCCUCCCACCCCUGCCAGAACGGCGGCAGCUGCGAGCCAGGCCUGCACUCGGGCUUCACCUGCAGCUGCCCGGAGUCGCACACGGGGAGGACCUGUGAGACGGUGGUGGCCUGUCUUGGCGUCGUCUGUCCUCAGGGGAGAGUCUGCAAAGCCGGAAGCCCCGGAGGGCAUGUCUGUGUUCUGAGUCAGGGCCCCGAAGAGAUCUCCCUGCCUCUGUGGGCUGUGCCUGCCAUCGUGGGCAGUUGUGCCACGGUCCUGGCCCUCCUGGUCCUCAGCCUGAUCCUCUGUAACCAGUGCAGGGGCAAGAAGACCAAAAACCCCAAGGAGAAGAAACCGAAGGAGAAGAAGAAGAAAGGAAGCGAGAACGUCGCCUUUGACGACCCAGACAACAUUCCCCCCUACGGGGACGACAUGACUGUGAGGAAGCAGCCGGAAGGGAACCCCAAGCCAGACAUCAUUGAGAGGGAGAACCCCUACCUCAUCUACGAUGAGACCGACAUCCCCCACAACGCCGAGACCAUCCCCAGCGCGCCCCUGGCCUCCCCGGAGCAGGAGAUCGAGCACUAUGACAUCGACAACGCCAGCAGCAUCGCCCCCUCGGACGCAGACAUCAUCCAGCACUACAAGCAGUUCCGCAGCCACACCCCGAAGUUCUCCAUCCAGAGGCACAGCCCCCUGGGCUUUGCGAGGCAGUCCCCCAUGCCCCUAGGAGCCAGCAGCCUGACCUACCAGCCUUCCUAUGGCCAGGGUUUGAGAACCAGCUCCCUGAGCCACUCGGCCUGCCCCACGCCCAACCCCCUGUCCCGGCACAGCCCCGCGCCUUUCUCCAAGGCCUCCACCUUCUACAGGAACAGCCCGGCCCGCGAGCUGCACCUCCCUGUGCGGGACGGGAGCGCGGUGGAGCUGCACGGGGACCCCUGCCAGCCGGGCAUCUUCAGCUGCUCCACCAGGCUGGGAAGACGGAGCAAGAGCCCCCAGGCGCUGGCCCCGCACGGGUCCAGGCCGGGGAGCCGCCUGAAGCAGCCGGCUGGGCAGAUCCCCCUGGAGUCUUCCCCGCCCGUGGGACUGUCCAUCGAGGAGGUGGAGAGGCUGAACACCCCGCGGCCCAGGAACCCCAGCAUCUGCAGCGCAGACCACGGAAGGUCGUCCUCGGAAGAGGACUGUCGGAGGCCGCUGUCCAGGACCAGGAACCCCGCCGACGGCAUCCCCGCCCCGGAGUCGUCUUCCGACAGCGACUCGCACGAGUCCUUCACCUGCUCGGAGAUGGAAUACGACAGGGAAAAGCCCAUGGUCUACACUUCCAGGAUGCCCAAGUUAUCUCAAGUCAACGAGUCGGACGCGGACGACGAAGACAAUUACGGCGCCAGGCUGAAGCCCCGAAGGUACCACGGGCGCAGGGCCGAGGGCGCGCCGGGGGGCACCCAGGCGCCCGCGGGGGCCGAGGGCGCGCUGCCCUUGAAGCUGGGGCAGCAGGCGGGGAGCUUCAACUGGGACAACCUCUUGAACUGGGGCCCUGGCUUUGGACACUAUGUGGAUGUUUUUAAAGAUUUGGCCUCUCUCCCCGAAAAAGCAGCAGCAGCAGCAAACGAAGACAGCAAAAGUGGGACAGGUCAGCCGGUCCCCAAAGACGGGGAAGCGGAACAGUACGUGUGAGCGCUGUGUGCCCGCGGGGGGACCAAGAGGCGGCCAGGAGCGCCCCGGCUGCCCUCGGUCGCCCACAGGGCGGGCACGCCGCAGAGGAAAGCCUUCAGCAGUAACCACGGUGCCGCUGACCGGCUCCGGACAGCUCUGCUCGAAAUGCGCUCGGGUGGACUCAGUGUCCUGCAUGCUUCGUACUGUGCGACUAGUGACGUGGGUGCAGCCUUCGGGGAGGUUCUUCUUACCUACCGGGGUCCGCUUUGUGAUUUUAAAAAUUAAUGCCGUUGCAGAAAUGAACUCGUGGCUCCCAGUGGGCUUGUGUGCUGUUGCCGUUGUGAGACGUUGUUUUGCUUGCAAGACCCGUGAGGUUGAACCUGUCCUUGUAACGUGUAGAAAAGAGCCCUCCCACCCUUGAGUGAAAGACUAAGCAUUAACACGUCUCAGAAUCUUAGAUUCCACAUUCGGCGUUGCUCGGAAAUGUCUGGAGAUUUGAAUACGCCGCACGCGACCAUGGGUACUAAACUUAAGUCAUUUUGUUCAGCACUUUAGAACUUUCUUACGAAAUUGUGUUAAAACUUCUGAAUCUUUUUUUGUGUGUAAACAGUGAUGGUCUUGUUCUCACCAGGCUUCCACUAAGGAAAAAGCGACUGCAAUUCUGUCCCAGAACACUGCCACCUGCUACUGCGGAGUCAGGCCGCCAGCCGCGCCUCCAGAGACACUUGUGAAAGUUAUUUAUUGAAAAAUGUUCUAUGCUUUUAAAUUUUUUAAGAAUCGACCUAAGCAAAGCCUGUGAUUGGACUUACUUCUUGACCAUUUAGCAAUUACCCCAAGUACCCAGUUUUUAUAAUUUAUAUAAAGUCAAAUUUCAGCACUUCUUUCUUUUCUGUCAUUUUGUAGGUCAUUUUUUAAUACCGUGUAAAAACCGUUUUUGUUUUUUUUUUUUUUUACACCUAAGCAGUGUUUUUGAUACUGAUAUUUUCCUAUGCUGAAUAGUUUUCUUACUUUCCGGGAAGAAACUCAAGCAUCUCAAUGUCUUCAAGAACAUAAACUCUGUAAUUGAGAACAGAGCGAAAGGAAAACGAUAAACAUGAUUAUAGCAAAGGGUUAAGGGGACGGACCUGACGCCAAGACUCUGUUCUAAUUCUCUAAGAAUCCUCUGUGAGGCAGAGAAGUGCAGUCUCCUUGAUUAAUCAGCCCCAGUUCAGGAAUAAGAGGGGACUUAUCUAGACAAUGUCUUGUCUUUGGUUUUUCUCGGAAAUCUUUCACUGAAGCAAAAACAAUACUUGGAACAAAAUCAAUCAGAGCUGUAUGGGAUGAAAUCUUCCUUCGAGUGGAGACGACCACUUCACUCACCGAAAGAGGACGUGACGCGGCGUGUUACGGUUGCCAGGAUUAUAGACAAACUGACGAGGCAGCAAUUCCCUCAGACAAAUGGUUAAUAGCGGCCUGCGUGUUCGCACACAGAGUCAUGGCCUCGGGAUCUUAAUGCAGCCCUUUAAGGGGUCACUGGCCGGCCCCCGCCUGCAUCAGUCCCUCUUGGGGCUCCUGCGUCUCGCCUGUGCUGUGAAGCGUGUCUCAGGCGCGCACUGAGAACGGCUCAGUGACCGCGCGGCCAGCGGGGGAAGCAGGUCCCGGAGCCCCGGCCCGUAGGCACAGGACGCGUCACUCCGAGGGGCACACUGCCGCUGCUUGCAAGACUGCUUCUGGAAUUCUCUAAAUUACUAAUUUUAUUGAUCGCUUAUUCAAAUAAAUUAAAACUAUCUUAAGAUAGGGAGCCAUCAGAAGGGCUUGGAGCACUUCUCACAUGUUAUGAAAAUGUUUACCCACACCGUCGUCGAUGAGGAGUGUAACUGACAAACCACUGAAAGUUAUGUCCUUUGUAAACAUUUUUUUAUAAGGAAAAAUAUAUAACCAUGUGAGUUUAUUACUUCCAGACACUCCAUCUAAGAACAAACCCCUAUUUUCAUGAAAAUUCAUUUUUACUUAUUUAAAUUCAACAUCAUGGUAAAAUUAGUCUGUAAAAGAUGAAAAUAAUUUUUAAAUUUUAAAUCAAUAGUUCAGCAAUGCCCUUAUUUAUGUUAUAGAUCUAAUUUUAAGGGACUAACAUUUCUAGGUGACUAAAUUUGCAUUCCCCUAGGAAAAAUAAGCCUAGCAAUAUAAUGUAUUUUAGCAUACACUGUUAAAGCUUUUAGUAUGAAAUAAAAUAUUAAAGUCUGAUUAAUCUAA